rnacentral:pre_miRNA from 1 species
AGAGUACUCCCUCCGUCCGGAAAUACUUGUUCUAGAGAUGAAUGUAUUUAGACUUAUUUUAGUUAUAGAUACAUUCAUUAUAUUCAUUUUUAGGACAAGUAUUUUCGGACGCAGGGAGUAUAUA